GUUGAAUUCUAUGCUCCAUGGUGUGG
rnacentral:piRNA from 1 species